UUGACCUCGAAUCAGGUAGGAAUACCCGCUGAACUUAAGCAUAUCAAUAACCGGGAGGAAUUAU
rnacentral:rRNA from 1 species